CUAAAGCCAAUUUGGUUGAAGCCAAUUGAAUGCAAGGCUAAAGCCAAUUUGGUUUACAUUAAUUGAAUGUAAAGCUAAAGCCAAUUUGGUUGAAGCCAAUUGAAUGCAAAGCUAAAGCCAAUUUGGCUUACAUUAAUUGAAUGUAAAGCUAAAGCCAAUUUGGUUGAAGCCAAUUGAAUGUAAAGCUAAAGCCAAUUUGGUUGAAGUCAAUUGAAUGCAAGGCUAAAGCCAAUUUGGUUGAAAUAAAUUGAACGCAGAUGCUGAAAUCAGCGCAACUCUCAAAAUGGCCGCAAUGGGGCGCGAGUCUCAGACUGGCCGGAAGGAACAAA